GGGCGUUUAGCUCAGUUGGCUAGAGCGCUUGCUCGACAAGCAAGAGGUCACUGGUUCGAGUCCAGUAUCGCCCACCA
rnacentral:tRNA from 4 species